AAAUAACUUCCCUUUCCAAAUAUCAUGUCAAUCAUAUCAACCAGAAGUUGAAUGGAUCAACUAAUGAAAAGAUAAUGUUACAUUGUUAUUCACCUUGCUAGUGUUACGAUGUCAAUCAAAUAUAGUUUUCCACCUGGUGACGUUACCCUGAGUUUUAUUUUACACGGCUGAUAGCCCAUUCAAUCAUUUGCUCCUCCCCUGUUGCUCUAAUAUUAAAGCUUCUCCUAUACUCGUUAUCCUCAGUUUUUUUUACACGACUUGACUUAAAAAUAUUGAUAUGAUCUAUAGCACAAUGCGAACAAAUAUAGUGUGUUGUAUAUGAAUAUUUCAAUCAAAGGAUAGUCGAGGUCGUCUGCUCCAUGGAGAAUGAUGGUCAGACUUCCAUUCCUGAUGAUCCCCUUCUUCACCAUUGCCACGAACAUCCCAUAGUCAAUUUGAACAUCCUAAUCAAAUGUAGACAUGAUCAAUUUGCAUUUCAGAUUUGUAGUAAUUAGCGUAAUAGUAUAGACUAAUCAACAGAGUUAAUUGAAACUAAUUAAUUAAUUUGAGAUGGUGACUGCACUGAAUAAACAUACGCAUGUUCUCAUUGCCGACCUCCCUGAUGAUGUUGCGAUACGACGUCAGCUUGUAUGUUGUACUCCCAGCACACCUCUUCCAGCAGGUCAACAGUGAUACGCCCAGAUCAAGCAAGAAUAAUGACACCCCAGCUAUUUCCAUCGCCAACUCCUUAAAGAACGUGACGAAUAACUAAUCAAUCAUCAAUAAAAUUGGAAAAUAAAACAGGAACUUCUUACCCACCAAUAUUGAUCUGAUUUCUCAUAAUACAAGAGUUCACAGAAACUGAAGAAAUUUCUAGGGGUAGCUCGACAUGACUUUUCUAGCUAGCAAUGCACUCGGCUUCAAGUGAAAAUUCACCGCACACUUUGGACAAGUAGUGAUCAAAAGCAUCUUAAUUUGCUUACAGAGGGAGUACAUAAUAUGAAAAAUAUUGUAAACGUACUAUAUAAUACAAGAGUAUGUGAGGUCAACUCAACACUUAAAAUAAUCAAAGUAUACUUUAUUAAGUCUCCCUAAUUUUCCCCACUGGUGACAUGGAAGCGAUCCAUCACAUGAGCGUCAGUGGUACCCCUCAGAAGCGGCGGUAGCUAGCGAGAUAGCAGGCGACUCCCACGAUGAUGGACGAGAAUGAGCAUACGGCGUGCUUGUAUGGAGCUCAAAAUAUUGGUGAUAUGGACGAUUAAGAAAGUGCAACAUUUGCCAGCAAGCUCACAAUAUGUAAAUAUUGGUACCCUUUUUUUCUCUAUGGUCCUAGAGCAAGAAAUUUGGUAUGCACAGAACAAACAUGAACCGAAACCUGAGCAUACAAGGGUGACUAAUAUUUGAAAUAAUAGCCGCAAAGAGAUGGGCUUUACUAACUUGGCAUACAAAUUGCACAAGACUUGCUUUGUAUGGGCAGAAAGUUGGAAACACAUCUUUUAGAAAGAGGCUUCUACACAUAUUUGAGAAACAACAAUGUGCUUUGGUUUUCAACUUGUUUUGCCAAGCACCACUACUAAUUUAAUAACAUGCUAGUGUAGGCAAACAACCUCAUGCCAGAAUAAUUGAUGCGGUUAGACUACACAUGUUGUCAGAUUCAUCAAAGUCAUCAUGAGCUUUUACUAAAAUAUUUGAAGCAGAUUGCUACAUGUAAGAGAUUCAUGGGAAAAGAUUCGGACCAAUGUGUUGAAACAACACUUGUUAGUUACAGUACAUGAUUCAGAGCUUUUAUCCUAGCAUGCUAACUACACAUGGAAUUUAAUCACACAACAGCAUUCAUUCCUUAUAAAACUCGAUAGGUUUUAUUAAGACUUGUACAAAUAUACUUUUACACAUAAGGAUCAGAAACUAACCUGUAAAGCACAAUUGUUAGGUGACGCCUCCACGGCC
rnacentral:lncRNA from 1 species